rnacentral:lncRNA from 1 species
GGUGACUAACUACACGUUGAAGCGCUCAGGUCCAUUUUCCAUCCCUGGAUCCAUUGAAGCUCUUGCGUUUGUUAGUACGUCGUUCGUGAAUGAAUCGAUGGAAUUCCCGGAUGCAGAGAUCGCCUUGCAGUCGCUGCCUUCCUCAGCGCUACCUUUGGAAUGCUACCUGUCAAGUACGGCUCUACGGAAAGAUGUUUACGACCAAUAUUAUUUGCCCAAUCGAGGACGGCACGGAUUUGCCCUGGCUCCUGUGAUGAACAGGCCGAAGUCUCGGGGUUAUGUGAAAUUGAGGACAGCUAACCC